rnacentral:rRNA from 1 species
UACGUAGGGGGCUAGCGUUGUCCGGAAUCAUUGGGCGUAAAGAGCGCGUAGGCGGCCAGAUAAGUCCGGUGUGAAAGUCACAGGCUCAACCUGUGAAUGCCGCUGGAAACUGUCUGGCUAGAGUCCGGAAGGGGCGAGUGGAAUUCCUGGUGUAGCGGUGAAAUGCGUAGAUAUCUGGAGGAACACCGGUGGCGAAGGCGACGUCCUGGACCGGCAUUGACGCUGAGGCGCGAAAGCCAGGGGAGCAAACGGG